UCCGUAGGUGGAUAAUUAAGUCAGAGGUGAAAUCCUGCAGCUCAACUGUAGAAUUGCCUUUGAUACUGGUUAUCUUGAGUCAUUAUGAAGUAGUUAGAAUAUGUAGUGUAGCGGUGAAAUGCAUAGAUAUUACAUAGAAUACCAAUUGCGAAGGCAGAUUACUAAUAAUCAACUGACACUGAUGGACGAAAGCGUGGGGAGCGAACAGGAUUAGAUACCCUGGUAGUCC
rnacentral:rRNA from 1 species